rnacentral:rRNA from 1 species
GACGAACGCUGGCGGCGUGCUUAACACAUGCAAGUCGAACGAUGAACCGAGAGCUUGCUCUUGGGGAUUAGUGGCGAACGGGUGAGUAACACGUGAGUAACCUGCCCUGGACUCUGGGAUAACCCCGAGAAAUCGGAGCUAAUACCGGAUAGGACCCUGUACCGCAUGGUGUGGGGUGGAAAGUUUUUUCGGUCUGGGAUGGACUCUCGGCCUAUCAGCUGGUUGGUGAGGUAAUGGCUCACCAAGGCGUCGACGGGUAGCCGGCCGGAGAGGGUGACCGGCCACACUGGGACUGAGACACGGCCCAGACUCCUACGGGAGGCAGCAGUGGGGAAUAUUGCACAAUGGGGGCAAGCCUGAUGCAGCAACGCCGCGUGCGGGAUGACGGCCUUCGGGUUGUAAACCGCUUUUAGUAAGGAAGAAGGGGAGCUUGCUCCUUGACGGUACUUGCAGAAAAAGGACCGGCUAACUACGUGCCAGCCGCCGCAGUAAGAC